rnacentral:rRNA from 1 species
AGUGGAACUGGGGGCACCCUGACCGCAAUGCCGCGUGUGUGAAGAAGGCCUGAGGGUUGUAAGGCACUUUCAGUGGGGAGGAGGUCUGGCUGGUUAAGAGCUGGUUAGAUGGACGUUACCCACAGAAGAAGCACCGGCUAACUCCGUGCCAGCAGCCGCGGUAAUACGGAGGGUGCAAGCGUUAAUCGGAAUUACUGGGCGUAAAGGGUUCGUAGGUGGUUGGAUAAGUUAUCUGUAAAAUCCCUGGGCUUAACCUGGGCAGGUCAGAUAAGACUGUUUGACUCGAGUAUUGGAGAGGGUAGUGGAAUUUCCGGUGUAGCGGUGAAGUGCGUAGAGAUCGGAAGGAACACCAGUGGCGAAGGCGGCUACCUGGCCAAAUACUGACACUGAGGAACGAAAG